rnacentral:rRNA from 1 species
UACGAAGGGAGCAAGCGUUAAUCGGAAUUACUGGGCGUAAAGCGCGCGUAGGUGGUUCAGUAAGUUGGAAGUGAAAUCCCCGGGCUCAACCUGGGAACUGCUUUCAAAACUGCUGAGCUAGAGUACGGUAGAGGGUGGUGGAAUUUCCUGUGUAGCGGUGAAAUGCGUAGAUAUAGGAAGGAACACCAGUGGCGAAGGCGACCACCUGGACUGAUACUGACACUGAGGUGCGAAAGCGUGGGGAGCAAACAGG